UACGAAGGGGGCUAGCGUUGUUCGGAAUCACUGGGCGUAAAGCGCACGUAGGCGGAUUUGCCAGUCAGGGGUGAAAUCCCGGGGCUCAACCUCGGAACUGCCUUUGAUACAGCAAGUCUAGAGUCCGGAAGAGGUGAGUGGAAUUCCUAGUGUAGAGGUGAAAUUCGUAGAUAUUAGGAGGAACACCAGUGGCGAAGGCGGCUCACUGGUCCGGCACUGACGCUGAGGUGCGAAAGCGUGGGGAGCAAAC
rnacentral:rRNA from 1 species